UACGGAGGGUGCAAGCGUUAUCCGGAUUCACUGGGUUUAAAGGGUGCGUAGGUGGGUUGGUAAGUCAGUGGUGAAAUCUCCAGGCUUAACUUGGAAACUGCCAUUGAUACUAUCAAUCUUGAAUACCGUGGAGGUCAGCGGAAUAUGUCAUGUAGCGGUGAAAUGCUUAGAUAUGACAUAGAACACCGAUUGCGAAGGCAGCUUACUACAGGGAUAUUGACACUGAGGCACGAAAGCGUGGGGAUCAAACAGG
rnacentral:rRNA from 1 species